UACGUAGGGUGCGAGCGUUAAUCGGAAUUACUGGGCGUAAAGCGUGCGCAGGCGGUUCGUCGUGUCUGAUGUGAAAGCCCCGGGCUCAACCUGGGAAUGGCAUUGGAAACUGGCGAGCUGGAGUGUGGCAGAGGGGGGUGGAAUUCCGCGUGUAGCAGUGAAAUGCGUAGAGAUGCGGAGGAACACCGAUGGCGAAGGCAGCCCCCUGGGCUAACACUGACGCUCAGGCACGAAAGCGUGGGGAGCAAACAGG
rnacentral:rRNA from 1 species